CACAAACCAAGGAUGGAGAGGAAGUGAGCAGAGGACAAGCUCCCUUUAGCAAGGUCACAUGUCUCCAAAACCUCUCCAAACAGUGUGGCCAACUGGGGACCAAGGAUUCAAAUCCCUGAGCUUACCCGAGGACAUUUCUCAUUCAAAGCCUGCUGCCAUGAGCCAGGAAGUACCUACUAAGCUUCAUUGCAGCCUGUGUAUUCAGGAAGACUGAGUUUGGCUGAAAGCAUCAAAACCCUUAAAUAAUUGUGACCAAGAAAAGGGGAG
ensembl:lncRNA